CCGCAGUCAUUAUACAAUAAAGUUGGGAGAGUUAUUCAAUACCAGCUUUGGUCCUUGAUCAAGAGAGGUGGAGUUAUUUCCAUAUCCUUCUAAUUUUGCUUGAUUGUUGACAGUACUGUUUUCAGAUUGCUACAAAUGCCCAACUUGCCACUUUAUGAGCACCAUAAUUUGCUGUUCUUGGGAUCCGAAUGAGUUUCCAUUCUGGGUGCUUGUUCAAAAUUUCCUUGAUAUGAGCCUCUAGUUUACCUUCUCCUUUUACUGCUGGGAUUAUGAUCUGCCUGUUAUUCCCUUCUAUCAGAGCUUGAUUGAUGCCCCCUUUCAUCCGCCAUUUCCAUGCCAACGGGGCUGCACUAGCUUCUGCUUUCCAGAGCUGGUUGGUUUGCGUUUCUUCUACCCAUACUUCUAGUCUAAGACCUUUAUGUUAAGGCCGGCAACACUACUCUCUCUCUCUCUCUCUCUCUCUCUAUAGAAAGUCCACCAUUUCCUAAAAAAUCCAUUACCACCGAUGCAAGAAAAUUCCAGAUUUUAAGAAGCUUGGAAAAACCUCUUGAAGAGCUGCGGACUUAAACAUGCGGCUAGUUAGAUCGAAAUCUUUUAUUGAGAUUUUUAAUCGAAAUCAUUUUCUUCAAGUGGAGCAGGCAGAUCAUCUAUGUAAUUAGUUCUAAUUAGUUGAUUAAAAAAGAACUGAUUCAAUUAAUUGGUAGAAUGUGAGAAAGAACGCGUUGAGCUGAGCUUCAAGCGCGAGAGACCGGAGGGGGCAGUAGAUCAUGAGGUCUAACUGUCCGAGUCCUUUCAGAGAGAGCUAGCCCUUCAUUUGUGCAAGCAGCCAGAUAAAGCUGAGUGAAAAAUGUAGAGGGAAAAAGUGUGGGUCAGCAGGAGUGCAAGUGCAGUAGGCUAGAGUGUUGAUUGAACGAUCAAAAUUAUAGCACUUGGCAAACGGGUAUGGAGUCUGUCUGCAGGGACAAGAUCUCUGGGAGAUUGUUGGUGGCAGUGACAUUGAAUGUGGCGAGUCAAGGUUAGGAAGGCUAUGCUUGCUAUCAAGACAAUGGUGGAGAAGGAAUGAAUUCAUGAGUUGUGGACGCAUAAUUUAUUAUUUUACCAAAUAACAACCUAUGUCACACAUGCAAUGAUAAAUAAAUAUGUUAAUGUAAA